UACGUAGGGUGCGAGCGUUAAUCGGAAUUACUGGGCGUAAAGAGCGCGUAGGUGGCGCGAUACGACCGGUGUGAAAUCCUCCGGCUCAACUGGAGGGGGACACUGGUAACGGUCGUGCUGAUGAGUGCAGGAGAGGGACGUGGAACUCCGGGAGUAGCGGUGAAAUGCGUAGAGAUCGGAAAGAACACCAACGGCGAAAGCACUCUGCUGGGCCGACACUGACACUGAGAGACGAAAGCUAGGGGAGCGAAUGGG
rnacentral:rRNA from 1 species